rnacentral:lncRNA from 1 species
GAAAGUCUAGUGAGCUCAAAAGAGAAGAUUGAUAUUGAAAUGGGAGGAGGAGGAAGGAUAGUUGAUGAGGGUGGAAAGACUUACUCACUCCCUGAGAUUCUCAGGAAUCUAAACUAUGAAGACCUUGAGGAUGACUGUGAGGAAGAUGACUUGAAGGCCAAGGGUCAUCACCACCACCAUCAUCAUCAGAAUGAGGAAAUCAUCCCUCCUUUUGACCCUUUCUUCACCAAUGACAAUGGUGUUAACAAGGAUGAGAAAAAUGGACAAGAAUCAAGAGGAUCUUCAAAUGAUAAUGGAGAUUCAGGGAAACAUGUUGGGGUCUCUAUUGAUGAUGAAGAAAAAGCUGAAGGGUAUGAAGAAAAAUGGAGUAUGGACAGUGUCAUGAACAUAAACGCAGGAUCUGAAGAUGGAGCAAGCUCUCCUCAAUCUACUUCCCCAAUGCUUCGUAAAUAGAGGUAAUGAAAAUUAAGGAUUACCCCUCUCUGUUCUGGGUUGCCUUGUUUUACAAGAUACCAUUUUUCUGAGCCCUAACACUGUCUUUGUUAAAAAGUGAAGGGCUUGAAGCUGGAGAAGUGGAGAAUGUUCUCUGUCAUUCUUUUAACUGUGUUUCAUAUAAUUGUGGAGAAAAAAAAAAUCCAGAGAAAUAAGAAACAUUGUAGGUUUUGUGCGUUUGAGGUGUAUUAGUUUUUUUUUUCUUUUUCAUUUAGUUGUAUUUAUAUUCACAUAUUUUUGUUAUUAAAAUGAUUUGGACCACGAAUUGUAAUGUAUACGAUUGUACUUGAAAUUAUUUUCUUUUUAUUUAUUUGUUGGUUGAUUGGUUUUCAUUUUCCAUGUGUUGAUUCUCUUCUAGGCCUGGCGUUCGAAUAUGGUUUUCGGAUUUUCAGGCUUACUGUCAAAGGUUCCAUUUUAUUUUAUUUUAGAACGCUCGGUUUCGGAUAAUAUGCUCGGUUCAAAAUUGUAUUGCAUUCUGAAAUCCAUAAAGUAAUCAAAUAUCUAUCGGUUUCAGGUUUUUUAGGUUCGGGUUAUACUGAAAUAAAAUACAAAAUUUAUGAAACAAAUCAUAUGAAACAUAAUCCUCAAUCUGAAAUGAAAACUACUAGGCACACAUCAAAUCUGAAAAGAACACUCCAUUGUUCAAUAGAACUGAAAAACAACAUUCCAUAGUUCAAUCACAGCCGAAACAACAAUAUUCCAUAGUCCAAUCAUAACUGAAAAAAAACACUGAAAAUUUCAUUUCCCCUUCUCUCUGUGUCUUCUUAACCAACGGAUUGGAUUUGAUCCGGAUCAAUCUCGUUUGCAGUUUGGUUUGGUUUCGAAUUUUGCUUCUUUUGUUUGAUCAAAGGAUUCAAAUUUUGCUAUUUUGUAAAUGUCGAAAUAAAAUUGAAUUUGGUUUGGUUCAGUCCCCCGUUAUUGUUUAUUUAUUAGUCCAGUUUAGUUUUGAUUAUGAGCUUUUAGUCUUCCACUACUACCUAAUAAUCUGCACCCACUAGGCAGGAUUAUCUAGCUUUUAUGGCCACCUUUUAUUGUUGAUUCAGUGGCAAGCAUGAUCAUGAUAGCCUCAACUUUCGCGUACAGAAGCUGGAGUAAGGUAACAACAGUGACGCAACUGUCAAGAGGAUAAAUGUCACUAUGUCAGUGAAGGGCAGGCGCGGCAUCGAUUGGCUUGGUUUACCAAGAACUAUCGAACUUAAGGAGAAACUCAAACCUUGGAAUGUGAGAUUCAAGAUAGGGCAAAGAUCAGACGAAACAGGUGUUAAGUCUCACCUCUCUCUCUUUGUCUUCACUCGUCGUAGAGACUUUAAAACCUAGAAUAGAAGUUAGGAGAAUAAGUGUAUAUUUACAGUUUGAUGUAUUUCAUAGUCUCCAUCUUUUUUAUUAGGGUUUAUGUAAUAACUCACAAGUGGUGUUUCUUGGGUCUUAUGGUAACUGUGUGACUGGAAGGGUUGAAAGUUUGUGAAUAUAACGCAGAAGAAGUAUUGUACCACCGUGACUAAAAUAACUAAAAAAAUGGAUGUGAAGAGAUAAAUAAGAUUCAUUGAGAUGUUUGUACAGUAAAUUCUCUGAUUUACCAAAAAUCAAAAUAUUUUACCAAUUGAGCAAAAGCUGUAUAACUAAUAUCUCAAUAAUCAUACAAAAAAAAAAAAAAUCUCACUAAUCACUAUCAUCAUCUGAUUUUGUGUAAUAAAAAAAGGGGAUUGACUUCCAUUUUUGGCUAUAGAUGUAUACAGUCUUAAUACAAUGAGGUACAUUCUUACAAGUUACAACUUCUUGUGAGAAAGCAUUGGUAGAUAGAACCACUAACAAAUAUGUGGAAGCACGUUUAGUUGAGGGAUGAUUUGACUUGCCCUUUCACAGCUCAUUGUUUGCAUCAUUUAUUUAUUAUUUAUAGAUUUAGUUGGCCGACUUUAAACAAUUAAUUAAAAUUAAUCUUAAACUAAACAAGAAACUGAGAUCCCUUCUUACAGACAUCCUUGUCGCAUAAUCAGUUUUCUUAAUUACAUACCAUGUCCGACCAUUAUCUCAUGAUCUCAAGCAAAUUAAAAAAAUAUUUUCUUUUUCGAAAAAAUAAAUAAAGAAAGAGAAGAUAGAAGAGAGAAAGGGAUCGCAAUUUGGAAACAUCUGUAAUAAUUUUUCUUUGUGAUUUUCGAGAGGAGAGGACAGCUCCAAUCUUUCUGUCUCUCUCCCUCUCAAGUGUAUUGAAAUUGUGAAUCUUUCUUCGGAGGAAACAAGAGAUUUGUCCCGUUUAUGGGAUUUUGUCCUGAUUUGAUCCCAUCUCUGACACCUUUGUCUAUAGAUUCUCCGAUGGUUUUCUGAUUCUGGGUUCUUCCAAAUUUCUUAACUUUGUUGUUUGUUCUGUUCUCCUCCUUUAGUUAUGGCUUGGAAUGAGACCAAACUCAAGAGGCUUUAUCAAGUUUGGAGAGGAAGCAAUGUAAGUUCUUGUCUAAUGUCACUUUGGUGUUUGAUUCAUAUACUCAUAGUAUCUUUGAGUCUUGAUUGGUUCAUAUAUAGAAACUUCAGGCCAUGGUUAGUGAUUACUGUAAGCUGUUCAUGGUUCUUAAUUUGUGAUUUUGACUUUGAAUUUUCCAGAAAUUUCUUUGUGGAGGGAGGUUAAUCUUUGGUCCAGAUGCAUCAUCUCUAUACCUAUCGACCAUCUUGAUCCUCGGUCCCUCGGUGAUGUUCUUUGUAAAAAUGUACUUGAAAAUGGCUGAUCCUCUCACCAAGAAUCGAAACCUCUGUGUUCCAAUUCUCUCCGUCGCUUGGAUACUCACCCUUUUGGUAUGUCUUCUUCUUUCCCAACUCCGUAGAUGAUGAUGACUUUAUUGUCUUAAUGAAACUAAAGUUUGAAUAGUUUUCUUUCAGGACAUAUUUUUCCUGUUCAUGACAUCUGGUAGAGAUCCUGGGAUUGUGCCUAGAAGUCUAAGACCUCCUGAAUCAGAUGAUGUGCCUGACUCAACUACUCCUUCCAUGGAAUGGGUUAGCGGUAGAACCCCAAAUAUAAGGUUACCAAGGGUCAAAGAUGUAACCGUUAAUGGCCAUACUGUAAAAGUCAAGUUCUGUGAUACUUGUUUGCUUUACCGUCCACCUCGAGCUUCUCAUUGUUCCAUCUGCAACAACUGUGUACAGAGAUUCGACCAUCACUGCCCCUGGGUUGGCCAGUGCAUUGGAGUGGUAAGUCAGUAAACAUAUUCUCGAGUACUAUGUUGUCUAUGUGUUUUGAAAAUGUUGUGACUCUUUUUGCAGCGAAACUACCGGUUCUUCUUCAUGUUCAUAUCAACAUCAACGACUUUGUGCAUAUAUGUGUUUGUGUUUUCUUGGUUGAACUUAUUCCAAAGACAUAUGGAUGAGAAGAUUAGCAUCUGGAAAGCAAUAUCCAAAGAUGUUCUGUCUGAUAUUCUCAUUGUUUACUGCUUCAUUACCGUUUGGUUUGUUGGUGGGCUCACUAUAUUUCAUUCCUAUCUCAUCUGCACCAACCAGGUGAUUAGAAAUAUCAAAUAUCCAUCCUUUGUGUUUCUCUCUUUCUCUUUUUGUGUGUUCUAAUUCUGAAUCUGUUUUUGUGCAGACUACUUAUGAGAACUUCCGUUACCGAUAUGAUAAGAAGGAGAAUCCAUACAACAAAGGAGUUUCGGGGAACAUAAGAGAAAUAUUUCUAUCUAAGAUUCCUCCAUCCAUGAACAAGUUUAGAUCAUUUGUCAAGGAAGAAGAUUACAUGAUGGUUGAAACUCCUACAUCAAAUCUCGGUGAAAGUCUAGUGAGCUCAAAAGAGAAGAUUGAUAUUGAAAUGGGAGGAGGAGGAAGGAUAGUUGAUGAGGGUGGAAAGACUUACUCACUCCCUGAGAUUCUCAGGAAUCUAAACUAUGAAGACCUUGAGGAUGACUGUGAGGAAGAUGACUUGAAGGCCAAGGGUCAUCACCACCACCAUCAUCAUCAGAAUGAGGAAAUCAUCCCUCCUUUUGACCCUUUCUUCACCAAUGACAAUGGUGUUAAC